CGAUGGCCGGGGCUUCGUUGGGUGUGGACAGUGUCCAGUUCAGCUGCUCCAUCUGCCUGGAGCGUCUCAGAGAGCCCGUCACCAUCCCGUGUGGUCACAGCUACUGCAUGGCGUGUCUGAGCGACUACUGGGAUGGCCAGCGACACAGCAGCUGUCCUCAGUGCAGAGCCGUAUUCAAGCCCCGCCCCAAACUGGGACGCAACAACCUGCUGGUGGAGAUGAUGGAGAAACUGGGAGUCAUGGGACCGUCUGCACCCCCCAUGGAGGAGGCCGUCGGCUUCCAGCACCCGACCUUUGACCUUUCUUUGGUGCGUCCGGAGAGAAACAUGGAGCAGAAACUUGUGGGUGAAACACGGCGAAACAUCGCAGCCGAGAUUCAGCGCAAAGAACUGGAAUUUCAUCAGCUGAGAAACGCUCAGACGUCCUUCUGCCGUCAGGUCAAGGUCGCGCUGAAGGACAGCAGCAGCGUGUUCUCAGAGCUUCAGGAGUUCCUGGAGCGUCGUCGUGUGGAGAUGAAGGAGCUGAUCAGAGCUCAGGAGAAGUCCGAGCUCACCAGAGCAGAAACCCACCUCCAACAUCUGGAGAAACAGAUGUUGGAGCUGAGGAGGAGAGACGCUGAGCUGCACAGGCUGUCCCAGCUCCAGAACCUGGACCAGAACCUCAUCAUCCAGGUGUGUCAGCCGUUCUCUGCUCCUGGUUCUGCUGAGUCACUCUCUGUGGUUCCUGAUGUUUCUUUUGGAGUCGUGAGGAACAUCGUCUCUGAUCUGAAGGAUCAGCUGCAGAACUUUUACCUCUCUGAGUUCCAAGCAGUCGCUACUGCAGGUCAGCACACAUGUUACAGCGUUUAUCAUUGAUAGAACCGAUUAGAACGUGAACCUGUUUACAGUUUAUGCUGUGAAGAUAGUUUUUGUUUCUAUGACAUUUCAUAUUUCUCUAAAAUGGCGUUAUAUUUUAUUUUAUUAUAUUUUAUUUCUAUGGCAUCUUUUCAGCUGACUGAUAAGGAAACGUACCUGGCAUCGCAGGCUGAGCAGGUCAAUAAUUAUUGUUUGUUUCUCUACAAACUUCUGUUCAAAACGAGGAAACAAACGUACAGUUUCUAACAGGAGAUAAAGCUGAUGUUUCUUAUUUUAACCCUUUGCUUUAUUUUGAUUAUUGGUGCUUUAUUGAGAGCC
rnacentral:lncRNA from 1 species